UACGUAGGAGGCAAGCGUGGUCCGGAUUUACUGGGCGUAAAGAGCGCGCAGGCGGUCGUCCAAGUCGAGUGUGAAAGCCCCCGGCUCAACUGGGGAGGGUCACGCGAUACUGGUCGACUAGAAGGCAGGAGAGGGUAGUGGAAUUCCCGGUGUAGUGGUGAAAUGCGUAGAUAUCUGGAGGAACACCGGUGGCGAAGGCGGCAUCCUGGACCGAUAUUGACGCUGAUGCGCGAAAGCCAGGGGAGCAAACGGG
rnacentral:rRNA from 1 species